CAGCACAACUGAAUAGGCUCCUCAAGGGCGGUCGGCUCAUCCCCUCAUGAAAGGGGGUGAGAUCGGUAUGACGGAAUUUCAAAUUCUGACAGUCGUGAUUGCAUUCGGUACGCUAGUAGCUGCGAUCAUUUUCGGAAUUUUGACGAUUAUUCUCGGCAUACUCAACCUAACCAAAAAGAAAUAGACCUCCCUUGAGCUUCCCCGGCUUGGAAGAGGUCUAUUUCUAAACUUUCGAGCCGACACCCUUGACGGGUAUCAGUUUUGCAAACGACCGUGGGUGUAUCUAGCACCUGCG
rnacentral:sRNA from 1 species